ACAUCUAUUGUUCUCCUUAGUAAAUAGACAAAAGCAAAGACACAGAGAACUUACUUCUCCAGUUACAAGGUAUCUUCACCUGGAUCCCCCAAGAGCUGAGCAUGGGACUAGAGCUUCUGAGCAGCCUCAUCUACAGCUUGUCUGUGCCACUUCUGUCACCACUUUGUCACUGUCCUCAGCAAGAUACAAAUGGGCUAUCUCAUCUCCUGGAGGACCCCACCUCGCACCUCCUGCUCAGCUCAACCUGCCUCACCCAGUGCAGACUACUGAUCUUGGACCUGCUCAGAAAUCCCCACCACAGUGUCCUCAUGCACAUGAGUAACUCCCAACGAGGGCUGACUACAGAGGCUGUUAAUGAUGCACAGA
rnacentral:lncRNA from 1 species